rnacentral:rRNA from 1 species
AUGAACGCUGGCGGCGUGCCUAAUACCUGCAAGUCGCGCGAACAGACGAGGAGCUUGCUCCUCUGACGUUAGCGGCGGACGGGUGAGUAACACGUGGAUAACCUACCUAUAAGACUGGGAUAACUUCGGGAAACCGGAGCUAAUACCGGAUAAUAUAUUGAACCGCAUGGUUCAAUAGUGAAAGACGGUUUUGCUGUCACUUAUAGAUGGAUCCGCGCCGCAUUAGCUAGUUGGUAAGGUAACGGCUUACCAAGGCAACGAUGCGUAGCCGACCUGAGAGGGUGAUCGGCCACACUGGAACUGAGACACGGUCCAGACUCCUACGGGAGGCAGCAGUAGGGAAUCUUCCGCAAUGGGCGAAAGCCUGACGGAGCAACGCCGCGUGAGUGAUGAAGGUCUUCGGAUCGUAAAACUCUGUUAUUAGGGAAGAACAAAUGUGUAAGUAACUAUGCACGUCUUGACGGUACCUAAUCAGAAAGCCACGGCUAACUACGUG